rnacentral:lncRNA from 1 species
UUCUCUUUGCAUAUGAGGGCUCUUUCAUUUUUCUUGAAGGAUGCAUGGGAAGUCUCCUGAUAUAGAAUUAUGCCCAGAAACCAGAACUCCCCCUUGGCCUCUCUUGUCAAACUCCUGUUACCUCUCCCUGUUUGCUCACUGUGGUCACUCACAGCCUGAGAUCUUUCCCAGUUUUAUUCUUCUUCUCUGCUCUCUCUGCCUUUGUCUCCUUGUUCUCCCCUUUUUCUUCUGUUUUUUUCCUCCAGUAGACUCUUUCCUUACUGCUUCUGCCAUCAUAUGCAAUUUCAUGUGCUUCUUGUUUUACAUGGCAGCAGGCCUUUGACGUCAGUCCUGCAUAUAAUACGGAAAUCCAUCAUUGCUGAUAUAAACCGUCAGAUAUGUGGUGUCCUGAAUGCUGUCUAUGAUGUGGCAAAGGCGUCUCUCUUGGACACUAUGAAUGUGCCCCUUCCUUUGGGCCCCUACGCAACUCUGAGGUGUGCGCUGGCAGGGCUGCCCUCUGUCUUUGGCACCUACGCUGCUGUAGAUAUAUAUGUAAGUAUCAAUGAAGUUGAUGGAUGA